UCUCGAUCCACCAAUAAAGACGAUACCAACAUCAUGGACAAGUUCUUUCAAUGACUCCCUCAAAUUUCUUCCCAAAAAAUCUCAACAAGUUCUCAAUGACUUCAUUCAAUGCCUUGGAGAAACAUCUCAGUCCAACCCUCCAAUUUACACCCCUCAAAACACCUCAUUUCCCCAUGUAUUGUUAUCACUCAUUAAAAACCGCAGAUACUUUACACCUACAACUCCAAAACCUUUGGCUAUUGUAGCACCCACGCAUGAAUCCCAUGUCCAAGCAACCGUUAUUUGCACAAAACGACACGGGUUGCAAAUUAGAAUCCGAAGUGGUGGCCAUGAUUAUGAGGGCUUAUCAUACGUAUCGGAUCUUCCCUUUGUUGUUCUUGACAUGUUCAAUCUUCGAUCCGUUGAUAUGAAUCUUGAAGAUGAGAGUGCUUGGGUUCAAGCUGGGGCUACUAUUGGUGAACUUUACUAUGCAAUUGGACAGAAAAGUAAGGUUCAUGGGUUUGCAGCUGGAUCUUGUCCAAGUGUUGGUAUUGGUGGCCACUUUAGUGGUGGUGGGUAUGGUCCACUUAUGAGAAAAUAUGGUCUUACAGUGGAUAACGUUGAAGAUGCUAAACUAGUGAAUGUGAAUGGAAGAAUCCUUGAUAGAAAUACAAUGGGAGAAGAUCUUUUUUGGGCCAUUAGAGGUGGUGGUGGAGCCAGCUUUGGAGUCAUUCUUUCAUGGAAGAUCAAGUUGAUUCGAGUUCCACCUAAAGUGACCAUGUUCAAUGUUAGAAGGACCUUGGAAGAAGGCGCUACCGAUGUGCUCCAUCGAUGGCAAUACGUUGCACCUAAGCUCCCUGAAGACAUCUUCAUUAGAGUAGGUAUACAAGUCAAGAAUAGUAGCCAAGAGGGGAAGAAGACAGUGCAAGUAUUAUUCACUGGUCAGUUUUUGGGACAAAGUGACAAGCUUGUUCCAUUGGUAAAUGAGCGUUUCCCUGAAUUGGGUUUACAACAAAAAGAUUUCUUUGAAAUGAGUUGGAUAGAAUCCACUGUGUUCAUGGCUGCUUGCCCAAUUGGAACUCCAAUAGAUGUUCUACUUUCUAGGCCAAAGGCGCCAGCAAUCUUCUUCAAGAGCAAGUCUGACUACGUGAAAGAACCAAUUCCAAAACAUGGUUUCAAAGCCAUAUGGAAGAAGCUGAUUAAGAUAGAGAAGGUGUGGAUGCAAUUGAACCCCUACGGCGGAAGGAUGAGUGAGAUUUCUGAAUCAGCAACUCCAUUCCCUCAUAGAGCUGGAAACCUAUAUUCGGUUCAGUACUUUAUAUCUUGGAUGGAAGAAGGGAUUAAGACCACCAAUCACUAUAUUAAAUUGUCGAGAAAAUUGUAUACAAGUAUGGCUCCUUUUGUCUCCAAGAACCCAAGAGAGGCCUUGCAAAACUAUAGGGACCUAGACAUUGGUACCAACCUGCGCAACCACACAAACUUUCACAAGGCUAGACUUUAUGGAAGGAAGUAUUUUAAAUAUAACUUUGAUAGAUUGGUACAAGUAAAAACAAUGGUUGAUCCUCAGGAUUUUUUCAAGCAUGAACAAAGUAUUCCACCACUUUAG
rnacentral:lncRNA from 1 species